ACAGGUUCUGUAAUAUGAAGCUGUGCUGGGAAAAAAAAAAAACCAAUGGCUAUUCCUUGUAUCAAUUCCUCUAACAAAAUCCAAGGACUUUGGCUCCUGCUUCCUCUGCUCAUCAUCAUCACCUUGAUCACUCUCUCAGAUGUUGCUGAAGCUGAAAAUGAGAAAAUUAUCAUCAAUGUUGGAGCAAUCGUUAAUAUGCAUACUCGUAUGGGUAAAGAACAGAAAACUGCUAUGGAUAUUGCAGCGGACAGCUUCAGCAGCCUUUCAAAGACUCAUAGCCUUAUCCUUCAUUUUCGACAUUCUGACAGAGAUCCCUUAAAAGCUGCAUCUGCUGGUAAAUAAAUACAUCAUAAUAUAGAAAUAAGUCAUGCCAAUGUAAAUAGUUCAUACAUAGUACUAAUGGAAUUCGUUUAAUUUUGCGAAAGAGUUGAUAAACGAUAAGAAGGUAAAACUGAUAAUUGGCAUGGAGACUUGGCAGGAAGCAGCUCUAGUAGCUGAUGUGGGGAACCGAGCUCAAGUUCCGGUGAUUUCAUUUGCAGCACCUACUAUAAACCCACCUCUAAUACAACAUGACUGGCCAUUUUUGAUACGAGUGGCAAGCGAUCGUGCUGCUCAGAUGAAAUGCAUCACAGAUGUAGUGUCUUUGUACACUUGGAAAAGGGUUAUUGUUAUAUACCAGGAUGACGGUUAUGGUGGUGAUGCUGGGAUGCUAGCUGUUUUAUCUGAGGCUCUCCAAAACGUUGGCUCAAAGAUUGAGCAUCAUUUGGUUCUCCCACGGGUUUCUUCCUUGUCUAAUCCUAGUUGGGGUGAACUAGAAGAGAUCUUGAAGCUUCCCACCUUUCAAUCUCGGGUGUUCAUUGUUCUCCAGUUGUCUUUCCCAGCAGUCACUAAUCUAUUCAGGGUGGCAAAAAAGAUGGGACUUGUAGGAAGAGACUCAGCUUGGAUAAUCACAGAGAGUAUUACAAGUUUGCUCGACUCUCAAGUCAAUCAUGAUAUGGUAGGUACUUUGGGAAUCAAGUCCUACUAUGCCAAUAAUACUAGUUCCUAUGCUAAGUUUGUAGAGGUAUUCCAAACAAGAUUUCCAGAAGAAGAUAAUUCCAAGCCAGGAAUUUAUGCUCUUCGAGCAUACGAUCUUAUUAUGAUCGUAUCACAGGCCAUAAGGAACACUACUAACAGUACUAACCUUCAGGUGUUGUUAAAUACAGUAUUGAACAAUUAUACGUGUUUAAGUGGCAAAAUGCACUUCAAAAGAGGUGAAGUAUUGUACACUCCAAUAUUCAGGAUCAUAAAUAUUGUGGAAGGGAACAGACACAAAGAAUUGGACCUUUGGAGACCAGAGGUUGGGUUCUCACAGAGCCUUUCAAAAGAGACAAGCAAAAACAGAAGUGAUGAUGUUCGUACGGUAGUUUGGCCCGGCAACCUAACUGAACGAGCCCCUAAAGGCUGGGGGGCCCACUGCAAGAAAGCCCUUGAGAAUUGUGGUUCCAGGUAGAACUUCCUUCCGUGCAUUUGUAAAGGUUGAUGAAAGGAAGAACACACUGCACUAUGACGGUUUCUGCAUUCAAAUUUUUAACAAGGUGAUAAGUCGCUUGGGCUAUCCUCUGCCAUAUGAGCCCCAUGCCGUUAAUGCCUCCUAUGAUGAUAUGGUAGAACAAGUUCAUAACAAGACUUUUGAUGCUGGUGUUGGAGAUUUCACCGUACUAGCAGACCGAUUGGACAAAGUGGAAUUCACUCAGCCCUAUAUUGAGUCUGGUUUGUCAAUGAUAGUUCAAGAAAAAAAUGAGCAAUUAACAUGGAUGUUUAUAAAACCUCUUACCUGGGAAAUGUGGGCGGCGAGUGGUGGCGUAUUAGUCUACACAAUGUUGAUUAUAUGGUUUCUGGAGCGCCCGUCUAAUCCAGAAUUCAGUGGUCCAUUGAAGAAUCAGAUUGGCACCGCAACUUGGUUUGCCUUCACCUCUUUGUUCUUUUCUCACAUCACAAUGGUUUUAUGUUGCAGGAGAGAAAAUCCAUAACAACUUAACUCGAGUAGUUGUUGUAAUGUGGCUGUUUGUUGUAUUAAUCCUAACCUCAAGCUACACUGCUAAUUUGUCGUCAAUGCUCACCAUCCAACGAUUGAAACCAAAUGUAACAGACAUCGAAAUGCUAAAGAGAACCAACUCAAAGGUUGGCUUGGAUGGGGAUUCAUUUGUCGUAACUUACAUGGAGAGAGUACUUCAAUUCAAUUCACAGAACAUCAUCACAAUAAGCAAUGAAUUCAACUACACAGAGGCAUUUAAAAACGGAAGUAUAUCUGCUGCCUUUCUUGAACUCCCAUAUGCUAAAGUAUUCAUGAACCACUACUGCAAGGGAUAUACUGCGACCACACCCACCUUUAGAUUUGGAGGACUAGGCUUUAUAUUUCAGAAAUGCUCUCCAAUUGCCCGGGAUUUCACCAAGGCCAUUCUAGAGUUAUUGGAGGAUGGAGAACUGAAGUCACUUGAAGAUACUUGGUUGACACCAAAUCGUGACUGUCCAAAUAAUGCAAGUUCUGAUGUUCCAGAUAGCUUGAGCGUCAAGAAUUUUAUGGGCCUUUACGUAAUAUCCAGCGCUACUUCUACCAUUUGCCUUCUAUUAUCCUUCACUAUCUUGCUGAAGAAGUUUCAACAACACGAGGAUGCAUACCUAGGCAAUGCAAGUGAUGAAAGUGUUUGGAACAGGACAGUUAGAAAAGCAAGAUUCCUAUAUAAUAAAGAGUUCAAUGUUCCAAGCAGAGCUCCAAGUAUUGUUGAUGUGCCAGAAUUGACUUCUUCCCAAGGGGAGCAUGUGAUCACUUCCACCCCUCAGGAGCAUCAACUUCAGGCCUCCACCCCCGCACAAACUGAAAGCGGUCCACUACAUUAAUAAAUGGCACAUUGGCAUCUUCUGUUAGGAUUGUAUUAUGGUUGCAAUCCUUGGUUAAUUUCUGUUGAUUUUGUAAUAAGCAAUUAGGAUAAUUAGCAUCUGUUAAUUGCUAAUCAUUAGUGCUCCACAGCUGUCUUAACGCGUGUCAAGCCGAGGUGCUCUUAUUCUGCCACUAUAUAAAGUUAUAAACCCUUCUGUGUACUAGUUCAAUUCAGUUAGCAUCAUUUUCAGAUAUUUUCCUUCGUCUUUUUUGUUGUAAAUGA